UACGGGGGGGGCAAGCGUUGUUCGGAAUUACUGGGCGUAAAGGGCGCGUAGGCGGUUUGCUAAGUUGAAUGUGAAAACUCUGGGCUUAACCCAGAGCCUGCAUUCAAUACUGGCAGGCUAGAGUUCUGGAGGGGAUAGCGGAAUUCCUGGUGUAGCGGUGAAAUGCGUAGAUAUCAGGAGGAACACCGGUGGCGAAGGCGGCAUCCUGGACCGAUAUUGACGCUGAUGCGCGAAAGCCAGGGGAGCAAACGGG
rnacentral:rRNA from 1 species